AGAAAGAACACCUUUUCUCCGAGGCUCAAAUCAAGGUUCUAAGGAUAAUUUGACAAAAAGGGUAGGCUUGAAAGGCUCAAACGGUUCAAAGAAGGCCCAAAUCAUAUCCCAAUUCACUUACUACCAACACUUCGUAUCAUAAAUGUCCUAAGGUGAGAUUUAAAACCGAACAAAGCAUGAUUGAGCACAAAUAAAUUCCAAAUUUAAAAUGCAAAACAUUCAACCAAAGCAAUGCACAAGGUGUGAUUCCGAGCAAUAAUUCACUUCUACGUUCCGUUGAAUCGAAAGCUAAACAAAUAUCUACUCCUUAUAGACAUAAAACGAGUAAUCUCAUCAUCAAACAUUGACCAUCUUCCAUCAUCAUAGUUCAUCGAUGUAUCGAAAAAUCUUUUUUUUUUUUUUUUUUUUUUUUUUU
rnacentral:lncRNA from 1 species